rnacentral:rRNA from 1 species
GAGUUUGAUCCUGGCUCAGGAUGAACGCUGGCGGCGUGCCUAACACAUGCAAGUCGAACGAAGCACCUUACCGGAUUCUUCGGAUGAAAGUUUGGUGACUGAGUGGCGGACGGGUGAGUAACGCGUGGGUAACCUGCCCUGUACAGGGGGAUAACAGCUGGAAACGGCUGCUAAUACCGCAUAAGCGCACGAGGAGACAUCUCCUUGUGUGAAAAACUCCGGUGGUACAGGAUGGGCCCGCGUCUGAUUAGCUGGUUGGCAGGGUAACGGCCUACCAAAGCGACGAUCAGUAGCCGGUCUGAGAGGAUGAACGGCCACAUUGGAACUGAGACACGGUCCAAACUCCUACGGGAGGCAGCAGUGGGGAAUAUUGCACAAUGGGGGAAACCCUGAUGCAGCAACGCCGCGUGGAGGAAGAAGGUUUUCGGAUUGUAAACUCCUGUCGUUAGGGACGAUAAUGACGGUACCUAACAAGAAAGCACCGGCUAACUACGUGCCAGCCGCCGCGGUAAUUC